rnacentral:rRNA from 1 species
GAGUUUGAUCAUGGCUCAGAUUGAACGCUGGCGGCAGGCCUAACACAUGCAAGUCGAGCGGUAGAGAGAAGCUUGCUUCUCUUGAGAGCGGCGGACGGGUGAGUAAUGCCUAGGAAUCUGCCUGGUAGUGGGGGAUAACGCUCGGAAACGGACGCUAAUACCGCAUACGUCCUACGGGAGAAAGCAGGGGACCUUCGGGCCUUGCGCUAUCAGAUGAGCCUAGGUCGGAUUAGCUAGUUGGUGAGGUAAUGGCUCACCAAGGCGACGAUCCGUAACUGGUCUGAGAGGAUGAUCAGUCACACUGGAACUGAGACACGGUCCAGACUCCUACGGGAGGCAGCAGUGGGGAAUAUUGGACAAUGGGCGAAAGCCUGAUCCAGCCAUGCCGCGUGUGUGAGGAAGGUCUUCGGAUUGUAAAGCACUUUAAGUUGGGAGGAAGGGCAGUAAAUUAAUACUUUGCUGUUUGACGUUACCGACAGAAUAAGCACCGGCUAACUCUGUGCCAGC